AAGGAGUCUACCAUCUAUGCAAGUGUUCGGGUGUUAAACCCCUACGCGCAAUGAAAGUGAACGGAGGUGGGAACUUUUUGUGCACCAUCGACCGAUCCUGAUGUCUUCGGAUGGAUUUGAGUAAGAGCAUAGCUGGUGGGACCCGAAAGAUGGUGAACUAUGCCUGAAUAGGGUGAAGCCAGAGGAAACUCUGGUGGAGGCUCGCAGCGGUUCUGACGUGCAAAUCGAUCGUCAAAUUUGGGUAUAGGGGCGAAAGACUAAUCGAACCAUCUAGUAGCUGGUUCCUGC
rnacentral:misc_RNA from 1 species